rnacentral:rRNA from 1 species
GAUGAACGCUGGUGGCGUGCCUAAUACAUGCAAGUCGAGCGAUUCUCUUCGGAGAAGAGCGGCGGACGGGUGAGUAACGCGUGGGUAACCUGCCCUGUACACACGGAUAACAUACCGAAAGGUAUGCUAAUACGAGAUAACAUGCUUUUAUCGCAUGGUAGAAGUAUCAAAGCUUUUGCGGUACAGGAUGGACCCGCGUCUGAUUAGCUAGUUGGUGAGGUAACGGCUCACCAAGGCGACGAUCAGUAGCCGACCUGAGAGGGUGAUCGGCCACAUUGGAACUGAGACACGGUCCAAACUCCUACGGGAGGCAGCAGUGGGGAAUAUUGCACAAUGGGCGAAAGCCUGAUGCAGCAACGCCGCGUGAGCGAUGAAGGCCUUCGGGUCGUAAAGCUCUGUCCUCAAGGAAGAUAAUGACGGUACUUGAGGAGGAAGCCCCGGCUAACUACGUG